GAAAUAAUACAUUUGAGACUGACACAGAGAUACAAAAUACAAGCUGCUCAGAAACAAGAUCCAGAGGAUUCCCUACAUGUGCUUCUCAAAUACUAUGAAAAGUAAACCAAACAGGACAGUCUGUUGAUCACAUGGUUAAGCAUAAGAAACACACCUACAGACUUACAUAAUCCAUUAUUACUACUUCCUCGAGUUCACCGUAACAAAC
rnacentral:misc_RNA from 1 species